rnacentral:rRNA from 1 species
UGGGGAAUAUUGCACAAUGGGCGCAAGCCUGAUGCAGCGACGCCGCGUGAGGGAUGACGGCCUUCGGGUUGUAAACCUCUUUCACCAGGGACGAAGCGCAAGUGACGGUACCUGGAGAAGAAGCACCGGCCAACUACGUGCCAGCAGCCGCGGUAAUACGUAGGGUGCGAGCGUUGUCCGGAAUUACUGGGCGUAAAGAGCUCGUAGGUGGUUUGUCGCGUUGUUCGUGAAAUCUCACGGCUUAACUGUGAGCGUGCGGGCGAUACGGGCAGACUGGAGUACUGCAGGGGAGACUGGAAUUCCUGGUGUAGCGGUGGAAUGCGCAGAUAUCAGGAGGAACACCGGUGGCGAAGGCGGGUCUCUGGGCAGUAACUGACGCUGAGGAGCGAAAGCGUGGGGAGCGAACAGG